AGAAAGAAGACAACGCUAGUUGCAAAGUACUGCUUCUAGGAAGAUCCACAGAAGCCCAGGAGACAUUCUUGGGAAAUGAUAGAUGGAACAGUAAAUCGAGACACCCUCUAACUGCAUGCUGUAAUUUGAGAAUCUACUGGAAAUGAAAAUGUAUGCAGCAAAUAUCCCAGUGACAAUCACAGCCAGAAAUGAUUGCCUAACACAAGUCUCCAAAGUUGACAGUGGUGAAAAAAGAGGGCAAAAGGAGGGGACAAGAUUACUCAAUGAGAAGAGAUGAAAUGGACUCAUUUCUACUUAAGUUUUAUUUGGAUCAGUAUCCCCUUUUGUUGACAGUUCAGUGGUUCCAGGUGGAUUGUGGGUGAUCACCUCCCAACAGAAAGAGGUAUGGAGAAGAUCUCAUCUGCAGAGGAGGAGGAGAAAAACGUGGAGGAAUCCCUCACUUCAAAUGAG